UCCUACGGGGGGCAGCAGUGAGGAAUAUUGGUCAAUGGGCGCGAGCCUGAACCAGCCAAGUAGCGUGAAGGAUGACUGCCCUACGGGUUGUAAACUUCUUUUAUAAAGGAAUAAAGUGAGGCACGUGUGCCUUUUUGUAUGUAUUUUAUGAAUAAGGAUCGGCUAACUCCGUGUCAGCAGCCGCGGUAAUACGGAGGAUCCGAGCGUUAUCCGGAUUUAUUGGGUUUAAAGGGAGCGUAGAUGGGUUGUUAAGUCAGUUGUGAAAGUUUGUGGCUCAACCGUAAAAUUGCAAUUGAUACUGGCAG
rnacentral:rRNA from 1 species